ACUCCUACGGGAGGCAGCAGGCGCGAAAACUCUACAAUGCCGGCAACGGCGAUAAGGGGACCUCGAGUGCCAGGUUACAAAUCUGGCUGUCGUGAUGCCUAAAAAGCAUUGCAUAGCAAGGGCCGGGCAAGACCGGUGCCAGCCGCCGCGGUAACACCGGCGGCUCGAGUGGUAACCGUUAUUAUUGGGUCUAAAGGGUCUGUAGCCGGCCGGAUAAGUCUCUUGAGAAAUCCAGCAGCUCAACUGUUGGGCUUUCAGGAGAUACUGUUCGGCUCGAGGCCGGGAGAGGUGAGAGGUACUUCAGGGGUAGGGGUGAAAUCUUGUAAUCCUUGAAGGACCACCAGUGGCGAAGGCGUCUCACCAGAACGGACCUGACGGCAAGGGACGAAAGCUAGGGGCACGAACCGGAUUAGAUACCCGGGUAGUCCUAGCCGUAAACGAUACUCGCUAGGUGUCGGCCACGGUGCGACCGUUGUCGGUGCCGUAGGGAAGCCGUGAAGCGAGCCACCUGGGAAGUACGGCCGCAAGGCUGAAACUCAAAGGAAUUGACGG
rnacentral:rRNA from 1 species